ACAGGGAGAUGCACCUUGCCUGGCAGCCAUCUUGGGCCUUUGUUGCCCUCGGCACCUCAGAGCAGCCAGUCCUGCAGUGCUACCUGGGCUGCAUGUCAAGCUGGGCCUGGCCUCAGGGCCAUAGCAGGAGGAGCCUGAGGUGGGGCAGCACUGUAUUCUGUCCCUCACCCCUUCAGGGAUGCCCCUGGGGAUGGAGCAGGUAGCUCUGGGAUGGACCAGCACCUGUGGGAGCAGCACACAGAAUGAAGUUAUUCUGGAUGCCUAAGCACUUACGUCACUCUCCUCAUUUGAAAUUGGAUGUUAAAGAAAAAAAACAGUGGAGGUGAAACAGAUGACAAGGUACUUGAUCAGCAGAAGACCAUGAAAGCAGCAGGAAGAGGGAGAAUCCUCUGCAUUUGCUGCUGAUGGAAACAGUAGAAGAAAAUCUCAUUACUGUCUUGAAGUCCUCAAAAACGGGAAUGAAUGAUAUUAACAAUGGUGUCUAUUAAAAAUGGCAUCUGAAACAUCAUUGUAAAGUGAAGAUUUAUUUAAAAAAUCUAGAAUGGUCAGAGUUGUUUGUUGUUUUUGUGCCCCAUCUGCCCACCAGAGAAAUCCAAGGCCACAUACGCACCUGCUGGUAAUGCUCUGGAGAUGAGUUCUGGGAGGACAGGCAACACCUGGGUUCUGGCAAAGCAAGACCUUGAAGUUCGUGUUGCUGAAAGCAUAUCUGACUGCUGGAAGGGAUAAACAGAAGGGUCCUGCUCCAGGAGUCGCAGAGGCUAACCAGUGCAAAACAGCAAUUAUCUGUGGAAAUACUUAAACUCAUCUUUUCAUAGUGACAAAGCCAGUUCUACAAGGUUCAGCCUGGAAGCCCUUUGAGGUUCCUUGCCUGCCAGGACGGGAGGAGUCGAUCGCUGCUGGAUGAAAAACCCCAUCGGACAAAACUUCAGUGCCUGUGUUUGGGGAUUUGUGCAGCAUCAAGCACGGUAUUGUUAAGAGAAGUAUAAUUCUUCAUGGAUGAGGCAAUGUCAUCUAUGAGUGAUUUAUUUAGAGACAGAAAGAAAAAUAUUUUUAAAUGCAUCAAUACCUGUUUUAAUGUGUUUUAGGUGAAACUCAGUGCCCUUUAUAAUCAGGGCUUUAGGGUUAGUUAUUAGUUAGUUAUAUUAGUUAGUUAUAGCAUAAAUAAUGCAGGAUGCUAAAAAUAUUUUAAAAUGGGUUACAUAAAUAAUUAUUUCACUAAUAUGUCUAAAAACAUAACCUGUUUUCCUGGACUAGAUAGACAUUUCUUGCAACACUGCAUUUUAAUCCACAUUCCACUGCCUGGAAAAGAUAUGCUUAAUUCUUUGGAAAAGAGCUCUAAGAAGUGAGAAAUUGAAAAAUGCUGGCUUCAUCAACUUUUGGAGCCAGUACGUUUCCCUUUGCUUCCUGGUUGCCAAAACCUUUUAUCCAUUAAGGAUACUCAGACUUACAUCUACUCAGUUCACUUACACAGAUCCAUAUAUUACGAGGUACUGGAUUCCAGGGUAGGUCUUACACAAAGCGCUGCUGAGAUGGCCCCUUACAUCCUGACAGACCAUCCAUGUACUGAAAGCUAGCAUAGUGUUAGGGAAGCAUUGUUGGAUUUACUGCCUACUGAAGGAAAGAGCGCUCUCCCUAAAAUAAAAUAAAAUAAAAUAGUUAGCAUUUCAUGUAAAUUUGAGAACACCUGAUGUUUAUAUGUCAACCUGAGCUGAGCCUGCUUAUAAUGUAAUGCACUCCUUUCUAAUAACUGGAAUGUCGUAUUUUUUAUGGCCUCAUUCAAAUAUAUUUUCAUAAU
rnacentral:lncRNA from 1 species